UUUGGUGAUCCUCUAGCAUGGACCGAGCUCCGCGGUGCCUGCGUCCCCGCCUGUGUGCCUUUGCCUGGGUGCUGCUUCGGGGAUCCACCAGCUGGUGAGGUGCCUUCAAUGACUACCUGGGCCUUAUUGAGAGGAGGUAACAUUGGACACCAUGGUGUUAUUGGUGUCACGAACCCAACAUCAAAUUGAAGUUCAGUCUGAAAACAGGCAAGCCGUAGCUCUUCAGCCUGUGUCGGCAAUUACCCCACAUCAGGCUAUCACACCUAGAGUAAUAUUAGCUGAAGGAGUUGGAGCAACAGUGUACAUGUUACUGGAAGGAGACGACAUUCCUGUUUCCCUCCCUUACCACAGGUAAUGUCUCUGUGCCAAGGAACAUUACAAAAUCGAUUGGCGGUGGACUGUCUCCUCCCUUGACACCAUAAACACUGCUCCGAUUUUCAAGACACGUGUUGCUUCAACAUAACUGAUGAAUCAGCCCGCAUAGAGGACGACAUUCAGCAUCCCCAGGACUUAAUGCGUCAAAUGAAACAAUCUGCUGGUGGUGUCUGGCCAGCUGAGUGGUUUGAUUCCCUGACAGGAUGGGUGUGACACCUGAUUCAAAGCAUUAGUGUAGGGAUAUGUUUAUGCCUUUUGCUAUAUCUGUUUAUUACAUGCCUCUGUAAAUUACCCUACCCUAAACCCACAAGCUCAAAUGGACACCUCUAGCUUUGCCAGCCCCAGCAGAAGUGGUCCCUUGAGGAAGGGGGCGGAAUGUGGGAUAAUAAUGGAAGAUUGGUGAAGAGGAUUAUAGACACGCUCAAGUGACCUGCAGCUGGAAUGCAGAAAAUACAUGUAUCGUGCUAAUUGUACGGCAAAAACAGCAGAUUCGGCGAUCCUCUAGCAUGGGCCAAGCUCCACAGUGCCCGCUUACCCACUUGUUCUGCCAUAGUUCUGUGGGCACUGUACAAAUGCCUGUUUUUCUCUACCUUCACAUAUUGUUGGAUUCUCUGCUGCAUCACACAGUGUGUGCUGCAAUAGUAUGUUCACCGUAUUUAUGGAGUCUUUUUCUAUAUGGAUUUUCUUAGUGUCUCACAAGGCAUGACCUUAGUGAGGUCACUAUUAUAGUCACUUUCCUUGAAAUUUGCAUUUCCAUGAAACUGAAAGAAAAUUUAUAUUUUUGAAAUUACUUAAUUUCACACAGAUUUCACAGAGAGGCCAUAACAGGGUGGAAAAGCCAGUAGGAAGAGAGAAAAAGACUCUGAGACUCUGAGAUCCAAUGCAACAUGAUCAUAUUGCAUUAGACUAGUUUCCUGAGGAAACCUCGCUACCCAGCGUACCCUUUCUCCUCAGCUAUGUAGUAGGCUUCUAGCACUGUGACCAAAUGGAGCAUGUCUGAAGGAUCGCUACCGGUCCUGAACAUCACUUGUUUCAUAGCAAGCCUGUUAGGAAUGGGGGCGGCUCCCCACAGGCCAAGCACUUUACAGACCUGACAAAAAGAUUGUUCGUGUUCCUAGAUGGUGCUCGUUCAGCUCAGUUUUUUUCUCCUCUCUCAGGACUGGAACAAGUUAAAUUUACUCAUAUACGGGCACAAGAAAAGAUGACAGCUGCCUGUGGGAUUGGAAAGGCUAGGCCAGGUGGUAGCAGCUAAGUAAUUCUCAAGGAAGUCAAGAGCAGCACUAGCAUCUAAUUGAAACUAGCCCAACCACCUAAGAGAAUUAAAUUUUGGCUGCAUAAUGAUUGCUUAAGGGUUCCUUUAAAUCCUGGGAACUCCUUGAUGUCUCUGCAAAAAACAGGCCACAGGUGAAAUCUUGCUACAUGUUAAAGUUAGUUUUGGAGUGAGCUUUGGAAAGCUCAAUGCAGCAGUUGAGCAUUGAAGUGCUUUGAAAAGCACAAUGAGCAGCUGAGGCAGUUGCAUCUGAAGACAUCUGUAAUGCUGAACCUUGCUUUCCCAUGGCUUAUUUGGCACUGUUUGUAAUGGGUAUUUUUAAGUGCAGAGUGUUCAGUUGCAUUGAAGUAUUUGUUGCUAUUUUAUUGACUGUGACCCAGAACAGAAGUCGUUGCUUCUGUUGGAAGGAUCAUUGCCUUCAUAAUACUGUGUCAGGGAAAAUUUGUUGUUCAGGGAGCUACAUCAAAGCUGAAGAAAGGCCUUGUACAGUAUGGAAAACGGCCAUAGAAAUCCUCUCAAAAUUAUUGUAAUCAAGUAAUUUCAAUGUAGGUCAAAUGUAUAAGUUAUUUAAAUUGUAUAGGAUAUUUUUUAUCAAUGUUCUUCAGUACAAAUUGCAUUUAAUCUGAAGUUAUAAUGUCCCAAGUGGUGUGAGCAGUGGAACCAGAGGAUGCAAUAAUUAAAGGCCUUCAAGAGGAAGAAAUUGGAAAGUAGUUUUAGAAGGAGCUGUGUUAAGCACUUCAGCUGAACAGGGUGUGGCUUUAAAGCCUUCUGUUUUUGUUUUUGUCCUUAAGCUGACUGCUGAAAAGACUGCUACCAUGCAUUAGCUUCUGUGCCCAAGCUUAAUUCAACCAAGAGCUAGCUGAAGGGUGCCCUGACUGUCAGAUGUAUGGAGGCUGUGUAUUAAAAUUGGACAGCGGUAAGCAUUAUCUUUGCUAAAUACCAGACUCUCUGCAAGGCAGACUCCCUGCCUUUCCUAAAGCCAGGCCUGUGAAUCUGCUUCUGGAUGGAUGCAGUUUUGUGUUUAGUGAAUUAAGGCAAUUAUAAUCAGCACUGACGGAUCCUUGUGGCUGUGCAGCAAACCUCAUGAUUCAGCAGGUACCUGGUGACCCUUUCUAGGAAACUGUUGGGGUGUCCAAGCUUUCCUAUCAGUGUUGGGGAAAGCACACCCGGUCCUUCUACAUACACAUUACUCAUCUUCUGCUGCCUGUACCUCCUCAUGUCCUUAGGGUACCUGCUGGUCGCAGACACCCCUGCGGAAGGCGUGAGGGGAGGGGACAUGGGAGCAAACACUGACGGGGCUUGGAGGCCAUCUGUCCCCUCUGUGCAAAAAGUGCUUAGGAAGGAAUUUGGAGACAAAAAUUACUAAGUGCUAGUCUAGUCAGAGCAAAAUAUCUGGUAUUAAAUACUUACAACUACACUGAUUUACCAGACACUUAAUGGUUCAAUACAGCACUAUUGAACUGGGUUUUUGUACAAAGCUGAUGCUUGGUCCAGCCCGCCUGCAUGGUGCCUCUGGUGCUCCUGGGUGGCUUUGGCAUGUCAUUCCUGUUUCCAGGAAAUUGAAGCAGACAGGACAACACCUCCCGAUGGCGUCUGUUGGAAGCCAUGUUCAAGGGGGGUGGUGGGGGUGGUGGAAGGCCUUGUACCGUUAAGGGCGGUUCAUCCCCCAUCAGCCCAAGGUACCAGUCAUUGUUAAGCCACCAGCAUUUGUGUUUCUGCUUGGAGCACACAUGAGGGAAAGGGACCUUCACUGCAACUGUCACAAACCGGGGGUGAGACUGUUGGGGACUGGGAAAGUGGAUUAAGAGGCCUAAUUGGGGGUGGGGGGGUGAGGGGGCUGGAGCUGUGAAGACAGCUGCCAUCUUGAUCCCGCCUUCCCGCCCCUCCGCCAUUGCUCCCAGCUUGGUGGGCAGGCAGUGCCAGGCUGGCUCGCCAUUGAUCUGCUUGGUGAGCUGGGGCAGAGCCAUGCCUCCCCUGCUGGGUGGGGCAGCAGUAGAGUGGGGUUCCCACCGGUUCCCCCACACCGCCACCCCCUGGCAUGUUUCCUUUAGCUCGCCCCCGCUAUAGAGCUGCUUUCAAAUAAAACACCCGCUCAUCGCUUAACAUGUGUUUAAACCUUGGGUGAAGGCAGCGCACUUUUGGCACAGGGUCCACCCUCAAGCGGGCUCAGUAGCUGUAACGAUACAAAUGACAAAUAUAUUCUGUCCAAAUUUACAUUUCAAAAUCAUGCUAACUGGAAAGAUACCAGUUGGAAUAGUUUAUAUUUUGUGAUCCUAUUACAGUAAUGGAUGAAAAUUACUAAACAAAUGCAUAAAACUUUAAAUUAAAGGACUGGCAUAG